rnacentral:rRNA from 1 species
AGCCUGAACGCUGGCGGCGUGGCUAAGACAUGCAAGUCGCACGGAGUAGCAAUACUCAGUGGCGAACGGGUGAGUAAUGAAUCGCUAACGUACCCCGGACUCUGGGAUAGCUAUCCGAAAAGGGUAGGUAAUACCAGAUUAUAUAACUCUGCUGCAUGGCAGAGUUCUCAAAGGUCCGCCGGUCUGGGAGCGGGCGAUUUUGUAUCAGCUAGUUGGUGAGGUAACGGCUCACCAAGGCGACGACGCAUAGCCGGACCGAGAGGUUGGCCGGCCACAUUGGGACUGAGACACUGCCCAGACUCCUACGGGGGGCUGCAGUAACGAAUCUUCCGCAAUGUACGAAAGUAUGACGGAGCGACGCCGCGUGUAGGACGAAGCCCUUCGGGGUGUAAACUACUGUCAGGGGUUAGAAAGUUCUGAUCAACCCAGAGGAAGGCACGGCUAACUCUGCGCCAGCAGCCGC